rnacentral:rRNA from 1 species
CCUACGGGUGGCAGCAGUAGGGGAUAUUGCACAAUGGGCGCAAGCCUGAUGCAGCGACGCCGCGUGGAGGAUGAAGGUUUUCGGAUUGUAAACUCCUGUCUUCAGGGAAGAUAAUGACGGUAUCUGAGGAGUAAGCAACGGCUAACUCCGUGCCAGCAGCCGCGGUAAUACGUAGGUGGCAAGCGUUACCCGGAAUUACUGGGUGUAAAGGGAGCGUAGGCGGGACAGCAAGUCCAGUGUGAAAUCUAUGGGCUAAACCGAUAGCUGCGCUUGAAACUGUGGUUCUUGAGUGAAGUAGAGGCAGGUGGAAUUCCUGGUGUAGGGGUGAAAUGCGUAGAGAUUAGGAGGAACACUAGUGGCGAAGGCGACCUGCUGGACUUUUACUGACGCUGAGGCGCGAAAGUGUGGGUAGCAAACAGGAUUAGAUACCCCAGUAGUC